rnacentral:rRNA from 1 species
GACGAACGCUGGCGGCGUGCUUAACACAUGCAAGUCGAACGGAAAGGCCCUGCUUUUGUGGGGUGCUCGAGUGGCGAACGGGUGAGUAACACGAGAGUAACCUGCCCUUGACUUUGGGAUAACUUCAGGUAACUGGGGCUAAUACCGGAUAGGAGCUCCUGCUGCAUGGUGGGGGUUGGAAAGUUUCGGCGGUUGGGGAUGGACUCGCGGCUUAUGAGUUUGUUGGUGGGGUAGCGGCUUACCAAGGCCUUGACGGGUAGUCGGCCUGAGAGGGUGACCGGCGACAUUGGGACUGAGUUACGCCCCAGACGCCUACGGGAGGCAGCAGUGGUGAAUAUUGCACAAUGAGCGGGAGCCUGAUGCAGCAACGCCGCGUGCGGGAUGACGGCCUUCGGGUAGUAAACCGCUUUCGCCUGUGACGAAGCGUGCGUGACGGUAACGGGUAAAGAAGCACCGGCUAACUACGUG